rnacentral:rRNA from 1 species
GGAGUUAGCCGGUGCUUCUUCUGUGAGUGAUGUCCUUCCUGCCGGCUAUUAACCCGCAGGCCUUCUUCCUCACUGAAAGUGCUUUACAACCCGAAGGCCUUCUUCACACACGCGGCAUGGCUGGAUCAGGGUUGCCCCCAUUGUCCAAUAUUCCCCACUGCUGCCUCCCGUAGGAGUCUGGGCCGUGUCUCAGUCCCAGUGUGGCUGAUCAUCCUCUCAGACCAGCUACGGAUCGUCGCCUUGGUGAGCCGUUACCUCACCAACCAGCUAAUCCGACAUAGGCUCAUCCGAUAGCGCGAGGCCUGAAGGUCCCCCGCUUUCCCCCGUAGGGCGUAUGCGGUAUUAGCCUGGGUUUCCCCAGGUUAUCCCCCACUACCGGGCAGAUUCCUAUGCAUUACUCACCCGUCCGCCGCUCGCCACCAGGGAGCAAGCUCCCCGUGCUGCCGCUCGACUUGCAUGUGUUAGGCCUGCCGCCAGCGUUCAAUCUGAGCCAUGAUCAAACUCUGA